UGGGGAAUAUUGGACAAUGGGCGAAAGCCUGAUCCAGCCAUGCCGCGUGUGUGAAGAAGGUCUUCGGAUUGUAAAGCACUUUAAGUUGGGAGGAAGGGCAGUAAGCGAAUACCUUGCUGUUUUGACGUUACCGACAGAAUAAGCACCGGCUAACUCUGUGCCAGCAGCCGCGGUAAUACAGAGGGUGCAAGCGUUAAUCGGAAUUACUGGGCGUAAAGCGCGCGUAGGUGGUUCGUUAAGUUGAAUGUGAAAGCCCCGGGCUCAACCUGGGAACUGCAUCCAAAACGGGCGAGCUAGAGUAGGGCAGAGGGUGGUGGAAUGUCCUGUGUAGCGGUGAAAUGCGUAGAUAUAGGAAGGAACACCAGUGGCGAAGGCGACCACCUGGGCUCAUACUGACACUGAGGUGCGAAAGCGUGGGAAGCAAACAGG
rnacentral:rRNA from 1 species